GUAGGGUGCGAGCGUUAAUCGGAAUUACUGGGCGUAAAGCGUGCGCAGGCGGUUUUGUAAGACAGGCGUGAAAUCCCCGAGCUCAACUUGGGAAUGGCGCUUGUGACUGCAAGGCUAGAGUAUGUCAGAGGGGGGUAGAAUUCCACGUGUAGCAGUGAAAUGCGUAGAGAUGUGGAGGAAUACCGAUGGCGAAGGCAGCCCCCUGGGACGUCACUGACGCUCAUGCACGAAAGCGUGGGGAGCAAACAGGAUUAGAUACCCUGGUAGUCCACGCCCUAAACGAUGUCAACUAGUUGUUGGGGAUUCAUUUCUUCAGUAACGUAGCUAACGCGUGAAGUUGACCGCCUGGGGAGUACGGUCGCAAGAUUA
rnacentral:rRNA from 1 species